CUGGGUCGGUCACGAUCCAAGCCUAAAUACAUACACUGACCGAUAGUGAACUAGUACCGUGAGGGAAAGGCGAAAAGAACCCAAGUGAUGGGAGUGAAAUAGAACCUGAAACUAUUAGCUUACAAUCAGACGAAGCCCCUUUAAGGGGUGACGUCGUGCCUAUUGAAGAAUGAGUCAGCGAGUUAUCAUAUAUUGCAGUCUAACCACAGAUUGUGGGGAGGCACAGGGAAACCGAGUGUUAAUAGCGCGAAACAAAAUGCAGUAUAUGUUAGACCCGAAACCAGGUGAGCUUACCAUGAGCAGGUUGAACCCUUCCGAAAGGUCGGGGGAGGACCGAACCCGUUAGCGGCGAAAUGCUUUGGGAUGACUUGUGGUAAGGGGUAAUAUGCCAAACGAACCUGGAGAUAGCUGGUUCUCCCCGAGAUAUAUUUAGGUAUAGCCCAUGAGUGUUCCUUCCGGGGGUAGAGCUACUGGAUAGGUCCUGCGUACGCAAGUAUGUUGGACUUAACCAAACUCCGAAUACCGGAAGUUAGAGCCAUGGAGUCAGUCUUGCUCGGAUAAUCGAGUAUGGACGAGAGGGAAACAACCCAGACUCACGUCUAAGGUUCCUAAAUCAAUGCUUAGUUGAAAAGGCCGUUUAGUUUCCAACACAGCAGGGAGGUUGGCUCAGAAGCAGCCAUCCUUUAAAGAGUGCGUAACAGCUCACCUGAAUAUUCCCGCAAGGGAUGGAAACUAUGCGCCGAAAAUGAUCGGAGAUAAGCAUCGUACCGAAGACUGAGAUUAUAUAUUUCUCUUAUGAAAUGUGUAGUGGUAGGGGAGCGUUCUAGCGGCUGUGAAGCCUCACCGUAAGGUGGAGUGGAGCUUCUAGAAGUGAGAAUGCUGACGCAAGUAGUGAUUCUUCUGGUGAAAACCCAGAAUGCCGAAUGUUCAAGGUUUCCUCAGCAACGUCAAUCGUCUGAGGGUGAGUCGGAUCUAACUGAUGCAUCGAUUGGUGCAUCGGGAUGUACAAACGGUUAAUAUUCCGUUACUACCUUCAGGAGUGACGUGGAGACGCAGUAGUGACAGUGCCGCCAUCUGACGGAAUAGAUGGUUGAAGGGUGUAGGAGUCGAUCAUGGCAGGCAAAUCCACCAUGAGAUCCGAACCUGAUAGUAUGCCGCGUCCUUCGGGACAAGGCAAUAGUGCGCGUAAGCAUGCUGCCGAGAAAAUCCGCUAAACUUAAUCCUGUAGGUACCCGUACCGCAAACGGACACACGUGGUCGGGUAGAACAUACUAAGGCGUUGAGAGAUUCAUGGUUAAGGAACUAGGCAAAUUAACCCCGUAACUUCGGGAUAAGGGGUCCUCUCCUCCGGGAGAGGCGCAGAGAAUAGGUCCAGGCAACUGUUUAACAAAAACACAGGGCUGUGCAAAAUUGAAAGAUGAAGUAUACAGCCUGACACCUGCCCGGUGCUGGAAGGUUAAGAGGAGAUGUGCAAGCAUUGAAUCGAAGCCCCAGUGAACGGCGGCCGUAACUAUAACGGUCCUAAGGUAGCGAAAUUCCUUGUCAGGUAAGUUCUGACGCGCACGAAUGGUGUAAUGACUGGGGAACUGUCUCGAGGACUUGCUCGGUGAAAAUACAAUACCGGUGAAGAUGCCGGUUACCCGCAGU
rnacentral:rRNA from 1 species